GCGUGAUUAGCUCAGGGGUAGAGCAUCUCAUUGACGUUGAGGAGGUCGGGGGUUCAAAUCCCUCAUCACGCACCA
rnacentral:tRNA from 2 species